AACGAACGCUGGCGGCAUGCCUAACACAUGCAAGUCGAACGAGACCUUCGGGUCUAUUGGCGCACGGGUGCGUAACGCGUGGGAACCUGCCCUUAGGUUCGGAAUAACUCCCCGAAAGGGGUGCUAAUACCGGAUAAUGUCUUCGGACCAAAGAUUUAUGGCCAUUGGUUGGGCCCGCGUUGGAUUAGCUAGUUGGUAGGGUAAAAGCCUACCAAGGCGACGAUCCAUAGCUGGUCUGAGAGGAUGAUCAGCCACACUGGGACUGAGACACGGCCCAGACUCCUACGGGAGGCAGGAGUGGGGAAUAGUGGAAAAUGGGGGAAAGCCUGAUCCAGCAAUGCCGGGUGAGUGAUGAUGGCCUUAGAGUUGUAAAGCUCUUUUACCCGGGAUGAUAAUGACAGUACCGGGAGAAUAAGCUCCGGCUAACUCCGUG
rnacentral:rRNA from 1 species